rnacentral:rRNA from 1 species
UACGGGGGGGGCAAGCGUUGUUCGGAAUUACUGGGCGUAAAGGGCGCGUAGGCGGCCUGCUAAGUCACACGUGAAAUCCCUCGGCUCAACCGGGGAACUGCGUGUGAUACUGGCGGGCUUGAAUUCGGGAGAGGGAUGUGGAAUUCCAGGUGUAGCGGUGAAAUGCGUAGAGAUCAGGAAGAACACCGGUGGCGAAAGCGCUCUGCUGGACCGCAACUGACACUGAGGGACGAAAGCUAGGGGAGCGAAUGGG